CUGAUGGGCAACGAAGGCCCUCGUCUAUGAAUAUUUUUACAAACGCUCAAAGUAUGACAGAAUGUAUAUCAUAUUGCGUCUGAUAAACGUGACAAAUACAACUUUCAACAACGGAUCUCUUGGCUCUCGCAUCGAUGAAGAACGCAGCGAAAUGCGAUAAGUAAUGUGAAUUGCAGAAUUCAGUGAAUCAUCGAAUCUUUGAACGCACCUUGCGCUCCUUGGUAUUCCGAGGAGCAUGCCUGUUUGAGUGUCAUGAAAUUCUCAACUGCCCCAGGCUUUGUGGCCUGCGGGUGAAGUUGGACUUGGAGGUAUGCUGGCGCAUGAAUGGGCUUUUGUGCCCCGUCUCGCUUGUUGGCUCCUCUCGAAUGCAUGAGCUUUCCAAUCCUUGGCAAAGUAUCGUCGAUGUGAUAAUUGUCUACGUCGCCUGAGAAAGCCGAAAAGGGGAAAUCUUUGAUCACGCUGGGGUGACCUGCGUCUGACAAAUUCGACCUCAAAUCAGGUAGGACUACCCGCUGAACUUAAGCAUAUCAAUAAGCGGAGGAAAAGAAACUAACAAGGAUUCCCCUAGUAACUGCGAGUGAAGCGGGAAAAGCUCAAAUUUAAAAUCUGGCGGCCUCCGGUCGU
rnacentral:rRNA from 1 species